AGUGGAUCAAGGCCAAACUUCCGUUUAGCUUUCUUAUUUUUCCUGCAGAAUUGAAUGCGAUGGCUUGUGAAGCGUUUCUGGUCCGAGGGGCAGCAGAUGCAACGGUGGUGGUUGUAAGGAGUCCCUCUACCAGCACACGCUUACUUUGUGGGGAUGGUUUUCCUACUGCCCUUAGCCAUCUUGCUUGCGCUGCGAGAACUGGAAGUUUUUCCUAAGGCCGGAGCCCAACUUUAUCAGAUGGGACCACGUUUCAGCUGGUUUCUGGACUAACGUGCUGAGUGUCCUCAUACACCACUGCUCCCGGGUCAGACGCCGAGGCUGCUGCGGAGCUUAUUUAAGUACACUGGAAAAUUCCCUCCCUAAUAAGGUGGGCAAAGUCACAACACGGAGGAGAAGAGGAGGAGGAGGAGGAGGAGGAAGAGAGAGCAAGAGAGAGAACUAAAAACCCCCUGAAGGAUGGUUCUCAAAAACUGCUGGAGGAACCGGGGGGAAUUCCGGGGCGAGCGGGAGCCGGGCGCGGAGAUGGCCGAGCCCGGAGGUGUUUGAUGAGCAGAUUGGGUCUUUAUCUCGGCGCUGGAGAGCAGGCAGGCUCGCGGGGAGACGCUGGAGCUUUACAGGAUUUCUGGUGUUUGUUUGUUUUCUUCUGCUGAAAUCCGGCUGCCUUUUUACUGCUCUGUAAAGAAUUUUGUAUGGGCUGAAUAUGUUUCUGCUUUAUAUAUGGCUUUUCAUAUCAUCGUAUUAAACAUAUUGAGAGUUAAGGAGAAACUAUUUUAAAAUAAUCCCCUCUCUUUUAUUUGGUAUGUUUACCAGCAGCACUCCCUAUAAAAAUACAUAUUCAUGCCAGAUUCUUUUGUUAUCCUUUCCAGGUCAGACCGAACAUUAGGAACGCAAACAAUUUUUCUUUUGCUAUCCCAGUGCCCGUUCCUAGGGAUUUAUGUGGUUGCUGUUGGUGAGGUGACCAUUCUUGCACUAUUUCCCUCGGUGAUUUAAUUGAACAAGGCAAAAAUUAAAGCUUGCAGACAAUAUUUUAUUUGAAAGCAUUAUUUACAUUUUUGUUCUGAAAGGGUAGUCCCAGCUUUUUGUGGACAGCCGUCGGAUCGCAGUCCUGUUCUGAGGGGGGCUGUACUGCACGUUUGAGAACAGUCUCUCUCAUCUGCAUAUUUUCUUAUUUUGUAUGUUUUUAAUACUAUGCAAAAUGAAUGAACAACAAAAUUCUAAUAUAAUAGGAGAAUGUAAAUUAAUGGCAAAAGACGGAUUAAAACAGUUCACACGAAUGAUCUGAUCUGACAUCAAUGCCUUGUUAUUUAAUGCAAACCUUGAUUUUCAACUGUUUCGUCUCACUCCUGACAUGAGCAUCGUGCAGUUUAAACAUCUGUCCAGCCGUUAAAGACCUUAUUGAUGCCUGGUUAUUGGAUUUCUAAUUUUCAGGUUUUGUCAGGGGGUUUAACAGACUAUAUGAGUGUUUAUAAUUUCUAAUGAGUUUAAUCUGUAAUUUGUGCCUAUUACCUAUGACUGUCAAAUCACUUUCCCAGUACUUGGUCUGUAAAAAUUCAAAAUAAAGAAAUGCAGGUUUCUAAAUAACCUAAAAUA
rnacentral:lncRNA from 1 species